AACGAACGCUGGCGGCAGGCUUAACACAUGCAAGUCGAACGCCCCGCAAGGGGAGUGGCAGACGGGUGAGUAACGCGUGGGAACAUACCCUUUCCUGCGGAAUAGCUCCGGGAAACUGGAUUUAAUACCGCAUGCGCCCUACCGGGGAAAGAUUUAUCGGGGAAGGAUUGGCCCGCGUUGGAUUAGCUAGUUGGUGGGGUAAAGGCCUACCAAGGCGACGAUCCAUAGCCGGUCUGAGAGGAUGAUCAGCCACAUUGGGACUGAGACACGGCCCAAACUCCUACGGGAGGCAGCAGUGGGGAAUAUUGGACAAUGGGCGCAAGCCUGAUCCAGCCAUGCCGCGUGAGUGAUGAAGGCCUUAGGGUUGUAAAGCUCUUUCACCGGAGAAGAUAAUGACGGUAUCCGGAGAAGAAGCCCCGGCUAACUUCGUGCCAGCCGCCGCAGUAA
rnacentral:rRNA from 1 species